rnacentral:lncRNA from 1 species
GAGCGCCCUAAUUGCAGUGUUAGCAGAUAGUUUGGGACAGAUCUCUCUUGCUCUGAAUUUUUUUCAGCUGAUGGUAUUUAACUAAUUUUCCGUUAAAGAAAGUAAAGAAGUAGUCUCUGAAACAAAGGAGGAGGAAACAUACGGAAAGAAGUUUACCCUGAAAUACAGCUCUGCUCAUGGUUAGGCUAUUUAUUCAGGAGUCUACAGCCUUUUACCCCCUACUCUGUCUCUGUUGUAGAAAGUGCAUCUACUUAUUCAGCUUCUGAAAAGAGGUGAAAUGGCCCCUCAGUGUUAACCCAAGAAGGGAGGAGCAUCAGGAACAGGAGCCACUGCAAGAUAACCAAGAAUCAUGGGAAUCUUUUGCAAUCUGGCACACUCAGGGCAUCUACUGCAAGUUACACAGUGUUAGCCAUGUUGGGGCAGACCAACUUAAGCCUCUUGAGUAUAACCGUGGAACUGUAGCUCUCCAC